UAGAUGGUGUUAACCCUCUCCUCUCCUCUAGGUACUAUGGUGGAGCUGAGGUGGUGUAGUAGAUGGUGUUAACCCUCUCCUCUCCUCUAGGUACUAUGGUGGAGCUGAGGUGGUGUAGUAGAUGGUGUUAACCCUCUCCUCUCCUCUAGGUACUAUGGUAGUGCUGAGGUGGUGUAGUAGAUGGUGUUAACCCUCUCCUCUCCUCUAGGUACUAUGGUGGAGCUGAGGUGGUGUAGUAGAUGGUGUUAACCCUCUCCUCUCCUCUAGGUACUAUGGUGGAGCUGAGGUGGUGUAGUAGAUGGUGUUAACCCUCUCCUCUCCUCUAGGUACUAUGGUGGUGCUGAGGUGGUGUAGUAGAUGGUGUUAACCCUCUCCUCUCCUCUAGGUACUAUGGUGGAGCUGAGGUGGUGUAGUAGAUGGUGUUAACCCUCUCCUCUCCUCUAGGUACUAUGGUGGUGCUGAGGUGGUGUAGUAGAUGGUGUUAACACUCUCCUCUAGGUACUAUGGUGGUGCUGAGGUGGUGUAGUAGAUGGUGUUAACCCUCUCCUCUCCUCUAGGUACUAUGGUGGUGCUGAGGUGGUGUAGUAGAUGGUGUUAACCCUCUCCUCUCCUCUAGGUACUAUGGUGGUGCUGAGGUGGUGUAGUAGAUGGUGUUAACCCUCUCCUCUCCUCUAGGUACUAUGGUGGAGCUGAGGUGGUGUAGUAGAUGGUGUUAACCCUCUCCUCUCCUCUAGGUACUAUGGUAGUGCUGAGGUGGUGUAGUAGAUGGUGUUAACCCUCUCCUCUAGGUACUAUGGUGGUGCUGCGGUGGUGUAGUAGAUGGUGUUAACCCUCUCCUCUCCUCUAGGUACUAUGGUGGAGCUGAGGUGGUGUAGUAGAUGGUGUUAACCCUCUCCUCUAGGUACUAUGGUGGUGCUGAGGUGGUGUAGUAGAUGGUGUUAACCCUCUCCUCUCCUCUUGGUACUAUGGUGGAGCUGAGGUGGUGUAGUAGAUGGUGUUAAACCUCUCCUCUCCUCUAGGUACUAUGGUGGAGCUGAGGUGGUGUAGUAGAUGGUGUUAACCCUCUCCUCUCCUCUAGGUACUAUGGUGGAGCUGAGGUGGUGUAGUAGAUGGUGUUAACACUCUCCUCUAGGUACUAUGGUAAUGCUGAGGUGGUGUAGUAGAUGGUGUUAACCCUCUCCUCUCCUCUAGGUACUAUGGUGGAGCUGAGGUGGUGUAGUAGAUGGUGUUAACCCUCUCCUCUAGGUACUAUGGUGGUGCUGAGGUGGUGUAGUAGAUGGUGUUAACCCUCUCCUCUCCUCUAGGUACUAUGGUGGAGCUGAGGUGGUGUAGUAGAUGGUGUUAACCCUCUCCUCUCCUCUAGGUACUAUGGUGGAGCUGAGGUGGUGUAGUAGAUGGUGUUAACCCUCUCCUCUCCUCUAGGUACUAUGGUGGUGCUGAGGUGGUGUAGUAGAUGGUGUUAACCCUCUCCUCUAGGUACUAUGGUAGUGCUGAGGUGGUGUAGUAGAUGGUGUUAACCCUCUCCUCUCCUCUAGGUACUAUGGUGGAGCUGAGGUGGUGUAGUAGAUGGUGUUAACCCUCUCCUCUCCUCUAGGUACUAUGGUGGUGCUGAGGUGGUGUAGUAGAUGGUGUUAACCCUCUCCUCUCCUCUAGGUACUAUGGUGGUGCUGAGGUGGUGUAGUAGAUGGUGUUAACCCUCUCCUCUCCUCUAGGUACUAUGGUAGUGCUGAGGUGGUGUAGUAGAUGGUGUUAACCCUCUCCUCUAGGUACUAUGGUGGUGCUGAGGUGGUGUAGUAGAUGGUGUUAACCCUCUCCUCUCCUCUAGGUACUAUGGUGGAGCUGAGGUGGUGUAGUAGAUGGUGUUAACACUCUCCUCUAGGUACUAUGGUGGAGCUGAGGUGGUGUAGUAGAUGGUGUUAACACUCUCCUCUCCUCUAGGUACUAUGGUGGUGCUGAGGUGGUGUAGUAGAUGGUGUUAACCCUCUCCUCUCCUCUAGGUACUAUGGUGGUGCUGAGGUGGUGUAGUAGAUGGUGUUAACCCUCUCCUCUCCUCUAGGUACUAUGGUGGAGCUGAGGUGGUGUAGUAGAUGGUGUUAACCCUCUCCUCUCCUCUAGGUACUAUGGUGGAGCUGAGGUGGUGUAGUAGAUGGUGUUAACCCUCUCCUCUAGGUACUAUGGUAGUGCUGAGGUGGUGUAGUAGAUGGUGUUAACCCUCUCCUCUCCUCUAGGUACUAUGGUGGUGCUGAGGUGGUGUAGUAGAUGGUGUUAACCCUCUCCUCUAGGUACUAUGGUGGUGCUGAGGUGGUGUAGUAGAUGGUGUUAACCCUCUCCUCUCCUCUAGGUACUAUGGUGGAGCUGAGGUGGUGUAGUAGAUGGUGUUAACCCUCUCCUCUCCUCUAGGUACUAUGGUAGUGCUGAGGUGGUGUAGUAGAUGGUGUUAACACUCUCCUCUAGGUACUAUGGUGGAGCUGAGGUGGUGUAGUAGAUGGUGUUAACCCUCUCCUCUCCUCUAGGUACUAUGGUGGAGCUGAGGUGGUGUAGUAGAUGGUGUUAACCCUCUCCUCUCCUCUAGGUACUAUGGUGGAGCUGAGGUGGUGUAGUAGAUGGUGUUAACCCUCUCCUCUCCUCUAGCUCCUAUGGUGGUGCUGAGGUGGUGUAGUAGAUGGUGUUAACCCUCUCCUCUCCUCUAGGUACUAUGGUAGUGCUGAGGUGGUGUAGUAGAUGGUGUUAACCCUCUCCUCUUGGUACUAUGGUAGU